rnacentral:rRNA from 1 species
GAUGAACGCUGGCGGCGUGCCUAAUACAUGCAAGUCGAGCGAAUGGAUUGAGAGCUUGCUCUUAUGAAGUUAGCGGCGGACGGGUGAGUAACACGUGGGUAACCUGCCCAUAAGACUGGGAUAACUCCGGGAAACCGGGGCGAAUACCGGAUAACAUUUUGAACCGCAUGUUUCGAAAUUGAAAGGCGGCUUCGGCUGUCACUUAUGGAUGGACCCGCGUCGCAUUAGCUAGUUGGUGAGGUAACGGCUCACCAAGGCAACGAUGCGUAGCCGACCUGAGAGGGUGAUCGGCCACACUGGGACUGAGACACGGCCCAGACUCCUACGGGAGGCAGCAGUAGGGAAUCUUCCGCAAUGGACGAAAGUCUGACGGAGCAACGCCGCGUGAGUGAUGAAGGCUUUCGGGUCGUAAGACUCUGUUGUUAGGGAAGAACAAGUGCUAGUUGAAUAAGCUGACACCUUGACGGUACCUAACCAGAAAGCCACGGCUAACUACGUGCCAGCAGCCGCGGUAA